AGUGAACGCUGGCGGUAGGCCUAACACAUGCAAGUCGAACGGCAGCACAGUAAGAGCUUGCUCUUACGGGUGGCGAGUGGCGGACGGGUGAGGAAUACAUCGGAAUCUACUUUUUCGUGGGGGAUAACGUAGGGAAACUUACGCUAAUACCGCAUACGACCUACGGGUGAAAGCAGGGGAUCUUCGGACCUUGCGCGAUUGAAUGAGCCGAUGUCGGAUUAGCUAGUUGGCGGGGUAAAGGCCCACCAAGGCGACGAUCCGUAGCUGGUCUGAGAGGAUGAUCAGCCACACUGGAACUGAGACACGGUCCAGACUCCUACGGGAGGGAGCAGCGGGGAAUAUUGGACAAUGGGCGCAAGCCUGAUCCAGCCAUACCGCGUGGGUGAAGAAGGCCUUCGGGUUGUAAAGCCCUUUUGUUGGGAAAGAAAAGCAGCAGGUUAAUACCCCGCUGUUCUGACGGUACCCAAAGAAUAAGCACCGGCUAACUUCGUG
rnacentral:rRNA from 1 species